UUAACACAUGCAAGUCGAACGGUGAAAGAGAGCUUGCUCUCUGGAUCAGUGGCGAACGGGUGAGUAACACGUGAGCAAUCUGCCCCUGACUCUGGGAUAAGCGUUGGAAACGACGUCUAAUACCGGAUACGAGCUGCGAAGGCAUCUUCAGCAGCUGGAAAGAACUUCGGUCAGGGAUGAGCUCGCGGCCUAUCAGCUAGUUGGUGAGGUAAUGGCUCACCAAGGCGUCGACGGGUAGCCGGCCUGAGAGGGUGACCGGCCACACUGGGACUGAGACACGGCCCAGACUCCUACGGGAGGCAGCAGUGGGGAAUAUUGCACAAUGGGCGCAAGCCUGAUGCAGCAACGCCGCGUGAGGGACGACGGCCUUCGGGUUGUAAACCUCUUUUAGCAGGGAAGAAGCGAAAGUGACGGUACCUGCAGAAAAAGCACCGGCUAACUACGUGCCAGCAGCCGCGGUAAUACGUAGGGUGCAAGCGUUAUCCGGAAUUAUUGGGCGUAAAGAGCUCGUAGGCGGUUUGUCGCGUCUGCUGUGAAAACUGGGGGCUCAACCCCCAGCCUGCAGUGGGUACGGGCAGACUAGAGUGCGGUAGGGGAGAUUGGAAUUCCUGGUGUAGCGGUGGAAUGCGCAGAUAUCAGGAGGAACACCGAUGGCGAAGGCAGAUCUCUGGGCCGUAACUGACGCUGAGGAGCGAAAGGGUGGGGAGCAAACAGGCUUAGAUACCCUGGUAGUCCACCCCGUAAACGUUGGGA
rnacentral:rRNA from 1 species